AUGAGAGAAAAUGGCAUUAAGUUGUACCAGGGAAGGGUUAGAUUGGAUAUUAGGAAAAAUUUCUUCACUGAAAGGGUUGUCAACCAUUGGAACAGGCUGCCCAGGGAAGUGUUAGAGUGACCAUCCCAGGACGUAUUUAAAAGAUGCGUAGAUGCGGCACUUAGGGAUAUAUGAUUUAGUGGUGGACUUGGCAGUGGGUUGACAGUUUGACUUGUUCAUUUUAAAGGUCUCUUCCUAUCUAAAUAAUUCUGUGAUUCUGUGUCUACUGUGUUUUGUGAUAGCUGCCACUGCAUAUGUACUGCUAGCCUAUAGGAAGCCUAUGGUAAAACGUGUUGUCAUGAACUCCCAGGAAAAAGGUUUAAUCUAAAUCGUCCUGUUCCUUUUGAUAAGCUGAAAGCAGCCACAUACUGUGUUCUUGCAGCACCCUGUAAAGUGUCAUAAUUCAGCCAUACAUCAGGAUCCUGGGGUGGAGCUGCCCUGAAAAAGUAAUUAAAACCUAAAUCUGCAAUGUUUCUUCUUCGGUGGCACUACCAUUUGUUUUCAACACAGUGGAUUAAAUGAGGAAGGUUUCGGUUAGGUGGAGUUAUCCCGUUAUCAAUUUUGAAAGUAUUUUGGGACCUGUGACCUGAGUUCUUGCUGCUGGUCAUCCCUGCAUUUACUGAAGUGCAAAGUCUAGCUUUGUAAAUGGCAUUUGUUUGACUGGGCAGUCAGCCCUGGCUUAAUCCCCAACACUGACUGUCCAAGGAAGGCUUGGACUGAAUUUACUUUAAGGAAUGAAUACAUGCAAUGAUAUACUUGCACUCUGUCCUUUUCCCUCAUUCAUACUAAGUAGGAAACUGGACAGUGUGUACACCAGCUCCUGCCUGGCUGUCCCAAACGAAAGGAACAGCAUUGGGAAUGCUGAGUCAUGUCAGAUCUCACCCUGGUGGGACUUAGUUUGUGUGUAAUGUUGCUGGAAUGGUUUCCCCAUUUACAAUCAAAUUUAAAAUACAUCUAACUUGACUGUUACUAUCCCUCUUACCCCAUAUAUUUAUUUGUAUGUGUUUGUUUAUGGAAAGCUGUUUACAUUGUGCUUAGUAUUAUCUCUGAUACCUUGUGAUCAACUCUCACCUACAGGUCAAUUGAUAAAAAUCUGUGAUCCAGAGGUCUGGGUCAGACAUGCCUUUUUGUGGUACGUCAUUUUCUCCUUGUUCUGUGACCUAGAGAUCAUACUAAAAAGGCCAUGAUUUAGAAGAACUAAAAUUGGAUGCUUCUUGACCCAUUUGAAAAUGUGACUAGGAAAAGGACUGACUGCAUUUCAACUAAAGAUAUGAUCAUAGUAGGCUUGGGGGAACACCUACCCCCUCCUUUCCAACAGGAAGGAUUUAACAGUCAGGAUUUCUUGCUCUCAAGAGCAUUUUCAUAGACUCUGGAAGACAGGAAAAUAUAUAGGCUUUACAUCACGGGCAGAAGAUCAGUAAAACAAUUGCUUUAUUUCAGUCUUGGCAGGCAGUGGGACACUGAGCAACCUUUUUGGAUAAACCCAGCAAGCUGUACUUGCAGCCUGAUAGAUUCAGUGGCCGCACAGAGCUCUCUAGAGCAAAACCAACUACUUAAAUUCAGUCUGCUACUGAAUAAGUAACCCAUGCAGACUCAAAGCACAAACCUUUGGUGCUUCUGAAAACUAAGUUCCUGUAAUUAAGGAACUGCUCAACUCUGCAAUAGUUUCAGUGCCUGGAUAUGUUUGAAAUGCAAUGUGACAUGAAGGAAGGGGAAGAACAGUUUUUGAUAUUAUACUUUCAUUUGUGCUCCUAAGCCUAACCAUUAAUUUAGCACCAGGUUUAAUUUCAUUCCAGGUUUUCAUUUGCUCAGUUACCUGGGGUAAAUGUGAAGUGGAUUUAAGCGGCAUUUAAGCGGCAUUGUUUCAGACUUGUGCUGAAUUAAAUCAGGAUGUGAAAUCAGGAUGUGGCCUAAACUGUAGCAAGUACAACAUAUUUUUCCACAGUUCUCUUUUCAGUGCUUAUUUCAGUUUAUGCUGACAAAUAUUUCAUGCUUUA